rnacentral:rRNA from 1 species
CGGACGGCUGAGUAACGCGUAGGUGACCUACCCCGAAGUGGGGGAAUAACUGCCCGAAAGGGUGGCUAAUACCGCAUGUGGUGGUUCGUUCAUUCGAUCCACCAAAGCAGCAAUGCGCUUCGGGAGGGGCCUGCGUCCGAUUAGCUCGUUGGUGGGGUAACGGCUCACCAAGGCGACGAUCGGUAGGUGGUCUGAGAGGACGAUCACCCAGACUGGGACUGAGACACGGCCCAG